UUUCCUGGACAAUUUCUGACACAUAAAUCUCUUUGCUAUGCUACUGAAUUAAUAUUUCAGGAAUUUAGACACACGUAAUCCAAAUCAGACGUUUUUAUGCUGGAGUUACGCAGAGGAAAUCCAGUAGAUUCUCAAACAGCAUAACUGGGCACAAACUCUGUGAAUUGAGCAGUACUACGUAUAGCCACAAGGUUCUAAAGGCUUCACAAGGACCUCAGAUCCUCACCACUCAUCUACCAUACAAACUACUAAUUCCUGCACUCCAAGACUCCAAAGCAAAGUAAGCGAACUGAUGGAUGAGCAGUGCAAGAAACAUUGACAACAGAAAUGAUGAAGACCAAAGGUCUGCGUCCUCGUCUUCAAGUUGGCUUCCUCACACUUCUAACAUCGGCUGUGUUACUCUUGUACUAUGUGAACUCAACAGAAGUAUCAGAAAUUUGGUCUGAAAUAGCUCGGAUAAUAAAGAAAACUACAUUCUCCACAGAGACAGCAGCUUCAAAUGGCUAUUUUAUCGCAUCUGGUCUAGAAUGGUCAUCUUCUGCGUUACCAGAUAAACAAUGUCAACCUGAAACUACAUACCUCGUGGCAUAUCCCUGUAAAUACCAUUACAUUUUAAAUGAAUCAGAGAGGUGUCAGAAUGAGAAGCCCUUCUUGGUCUUGAUGGUACCUGUGGCACCAAACAACAGGGAAGCUCGGGAUGCCGUCCGUACCACCUGGGGAUCUGAAAAGAUGGUUAUGAACAAAGUGGUGAGCCUUUUCUUUCUGCUUGGUCAGCCUGGACAUGAAGAGAGAGAGGAGAUGCAGCAGAAGAUCUUGCAGGAGAGUGAGGAACACCACGACAUCAUUCAAAGUGAUUUUCUGGACAGUUAUAAAAAUCUUACUAUCAAGACUAUGGUGAUUAUGGAAUGGCUGGCAACUUACUGCCAAAAUGCAGCCUAUGCCAUGAAGAUCGACUCUGAUAUGUUCCUAAAUGUGAACAGUUUAAUAAACAUGCUUCUUCAGGCACCAAGAAAGAACUAUAUGACGGGGCUUGUGGCCAUAGGGGCUGCUGUUUCCAGAGACCCCAGCUCUAAAUGGUAUCUGCCAAAAGAUGUGUUUCCUGCUGAUUUUUAUCCACCUUACGCACUGGGAUUGGGCUAUGUGAUCUCCUCGGACCUUCCAAACAAACUGAUUAAAGGAGCAAAGCAUGUCAAAGCUGUUUAUAUUGAAGACGUAUUUUUAGGACUGUGCAUGUGGUAUCUUGGUAUACCUUUCACAAGUCAGACUGAUCAGAGCCUCUUCAACGGCUUCUUUGUUCCUUACAACUGGUGUCGCUACUCAAAACUCAUUGUAACAACCACACACAGCCUACAGGAUCAAGUUAACUUUUGGAAAGAACUUAAGAAACCAGGACCACAUUGUCAACCUUGAAUGAGUGCCAUAAAUUAUUUAUUUUACUGUACAGACAAUUUAAGGUUGAAUUGUACAAUAAAACAUAGAAACCUGUGUGCCGAACAGCCAUCUCAAUCUAAUCUUAAGGGCUUGUGCCAGAAGGGAAGUAAGUGACGCUUUUGCCACCAGCCUUUGUCUUUUGCUAUUCCAAAUUCUGCAAUUCACAAAGAGAUUAUAGCCUCAUACUUUUAAUAUAUGUGCAUGUAAGUUUAUUUUUGUGUUAGCUUAUACAAGCAAAGAAAAGAAAAAAUUGAUGCCUUUGUCACAAGAUUUUUGUUGUCCUUAGUGUCUCCAAAUUCAUCAAUUAGAUACACCCGCAUUGCGUCUAUGGGGGUCACGUGACAAAAGAACGAACGGCUAGGAGUAGAAGACUCAUUAAGAAGAGCCAUUUAAUUCUGUUUCCUGUGUACUGCAUUGCAUAGCGUCUAUGAAAGUCACGUGAUAAAAGAACAAAUGAUUCGGACCAAAAUCUCAAAGUUGGUCGAUUUAAGAUGGCGGAAUUACUAGGUGUAUUUACAUGGCUGCAUAACAUAAACUUCAGGUAUGGCUGGGCUAAUAAUCGAUAUCAUAUCGAAUCACGAUUUAUUUUAUUUUAAAAACGAUGAUGAUAAGUCCUAGACAUUUUUUGCUCGAUAUGGAUUAAUCUAAGAGCCAAUCACACAGCAGAACAAUACUUAGAAACAUACUAAGGAAAAUAAUAAGAAACGUGAGAUACUUUGCCACUACCACCGACCUAUGGUCCAGCCGCUCAUCCGAGCCAUAUUUGAGUCUCACAAUUUAUUACAUUGAUGAGGACUGGGGUCUGCAAUCAAGAUGCUUGCAGACGGCAUAUUUUCCAGACGACCACGACCAAAUGUGCAUUACAACAGACAAUGGCGCAAACAUUGUUAAGGCUGUCUCACUUAAAAACUGGACUUGUCUGCAGUGUUUUGGUCACCGGCUGCAUCUAGCCAUUGAGGGGCGUAUGAGAGACCAGAGAAUCCAAAGAGCCAUGGGUGUGUGCAAAAAAGUGGUCAGUGCUUUUUCCUUCUCGUGGAAAAAGAAACGCAAACUAGCGGCCACUCAAGAGGAGCUCAAGCUGCCAAAGCACAAGUUGAUCACAGAAUCACCGACCAGGUGGGGGUCACGCCAUGCAAUGAUAGCACGAGUGCUAGAGCAGGAGGCCAUUGCAAAAGUUUUAUCAGCUGAUAAAAAAACAAGGCACUUGGCUUCCUCAUGGCAGGAUAUUGAGGUUCUGGAGUCUGUGUGCAAGGCUCUAAACCCAAUUUCACUGAUGCCCUUUCUGGUGAAAAAUAUGUGAGUGUGUCAUACCUGAAACCAGUACUGCAUCUGUUCAAUGAGGAGGUCUUGAAACCUGUAGCUGAUGACUCAGAGCUCACAAAGACCAUCAAGGUUUCUGUCCUCAGUUAUCUGAAUAAGAAAUAUGACAAUGCUGCCACUGAUAACCUUUUGAGCAUAGCAUCCCUUGUUGAUCCUCGUUUUAAGAAUUGCUACAUCAAAGAUGACAUGCUUGAGGCAGUAAAAUCUAGAGCUGUGGCUCAGAUUCUGGAUGAAUGUCAGAGCACAUCGCAAGCUACUGUACUCCUGAAUUCCCAUCCACUGCACUGAGAGGAGGCAAAGGUGAUGGUGCUGCUGCUACACCAGCCAAACUGCAGAAGAAGACACUGGGCAGAAGUCCUAUACAAAGUCUGCUGCAACAUCUGGUCCCACAGAACAGCAGUCUAUUGAACCUGAACUAAACAGUUACCUGCAAGCUUCUGAUGCAGACAAUGAGACCAACCCCCUGGUAUGGUGGAAGAUCAAUGCAGCGACAUUUAGCACAGGUGGUAAUAUUGUGUGCUGCAACAGGGCAGCUUUAAAGCCAGACACAGUGGACAGCCUAGUCUUUCUGGCAAAAAACCUGUAAACGUUUUACAAAUUGAGUGCAUUAGCUAAUAAUUGAUUUUUAUUUACCUUUUAUUUAAUGUACCUCUUAAAGUCAUUGUUCACAGACUAGUCUUUCUGGCAAAAAAAACCCCAACAACAACAGA